rnacentral:rRNA from 1 species
AUUGAACGCUGGCGGAAUGCUUUACACAUGCAAGUCGAGCGGCAGCGCGGGGGCAACCCUGGCGGCGAGCGGCGAACGGGUGAGUAACAUAUCGGAACGUACCCCGUCGUGGGGGAUAACACAGCGAAAGCUGUGCUAAUACCGCAUACGACCUGAGGGUGAAAGCGGGGGAUCGCAAGACCUCGCGCGAUGGGAGCGGCCGAUAUCGGAUUAGCUUGUUGGCGGGGUAAGGGCCCACCAAGGCGAUGAUCGGUAGCUGGUCUGAGAGGACGAUCAGCCACACUGGGACUGAGACACGGCCCAGACUCCUACGGGAGGCAGCAGUGGGGAAUAUUGGACAAUGGGCGCAAGCCUGAUCCAGCAAUGCUGCGUGGGUGAAGACGGCCUGCGGGUUGUAAAGCCCUUUAGGCGGGGGAGGAACGGGCGUCGGUGCGAACAGUGCGGCGUUCUGACGUUACCGCGGAAUAAGCACCGGGCUAACUCCGUGCCAGCAGCCGCGGUAAU